CUGGAUCCAGGUUAGUCAUCCACUGUGACUUCAGAGUUCCAGGAGGAAAGAGCCUGAGAAACUUGGAAGUUCUUUCCUGCAGAUGGAGACUACUAAAGAAAUCCACAGAGGGUCAAAUGCAGAGAACAGCGGACCACCGGGUGCAUAAUAUCAACUGAAGCAUCUACAACACAACCCUUAGAAUGGACGCUCAGGGAAAUGGAGCUAGUGUAAGAGCCAAAGGACUAGGACCCCUGAUGGCGUGGAAGCUACAACCAUGGAAUCAAGACAACACGGCUGCCUAAACAAGGCUAACAGAGUGACAACACCAGUUGACAUGACAGCAUGAGUGGGGAGAACCAUCACAAGGCCCCACCCCUAGAAGAAGAGCUACGGGCAUUCGGUAGCUGAGACAGGAUCUUUACAACAGCUCCCGUUUCUUUCCUGUGUCCCAUGGCCCAUCACUCAAAUGGCCUUACCAACCAGCGUCAGCCUUGGUACACAUGGGAGCUGUGACCUCGUGGAAGAUAACCUUUGACAGGCUCUCACCAGUUCUCCAGCAUCCAGUUUCACACGGAGGCUGCAGGAAGCUGCUGCCCGCAGACUGAGCCUUGAUAACACAAGGAGAACCACCUGGUAACAGCGGCCGCACUUCAUCCAGGAUGAAAACAGGAUCUAAAAUAUAAACAACAUCCUCCCUCCAGAAGCCGGUGCUCAGUUCACUCCCAAGUGUGUUUGACUCUGUUUUCCCAAGAGUCUCAUGAGAACCUUUACUGAGGCAGGAAGGUAGGUCAAGACAAGAAGCAGAGUUUCAAGAUUUCCGGUGAAAAUCAUCAAAACAUUUUCUUUUUUUUUAAAUUGUUGUUGUUGUUGGUGAUCUUUUUAAGUUCAGGAGUAUGACCAAUAAUCGUAGUUACAGCACUGAACUUGUUUUUAGAUGAAUAAAAAUUUAGAUACCUCAAGUCUGACACCAUGCCAAAGGAAAUUAUGCAAAUGGAUCAAAGUAAAAAAGGAGAAAGGUUUCUGCUGAUGUCGUCUUUCCCAGAGCAUUCCUUCGGAAAUGGAUACUGCUUUGUAACAGCAAAACACGAUGUUUAUUGUGUUCAUUGUUGCUGGCAACGUAGCCAGCGUGUUUCUGCUCAUCCCAUAAAGUGGAUCCUUACAUAGAGAGAGGUGAGGGCUCUCUCAGCAUCUCCAGUCAGUAUGUAAUGUUCCCAGGACUAGACUCCAACCAGAGUUUCUGAGAGCUGCAGCAGCGCUUUCUCAGACACUCAGCCUAUCCCCACUGUUUUUACUGUAAAAAAUACAUUUAUUAUUUAUUUGUGCAAA